rnacentral:rRNA from 1 species
UGACGUUUGCGUAAAUGGAAACUAGAGGUAUUACCAAGCGAGCGGCGGACGGGGUGAGUAACACGUGGGUAACCUGCCCAGAGACUGGGGAUAACACCUGGAAACAGAUGCUAAUACCGGAUAACAACACUAGACGCAUGUCUAGAGCUUGAAAGAUGGUUCUGCUAUCACUCUUGGAUGGACCUGCGGUGCAUUAGCUAGUUGGUAAGGUAACGGCUUACCAAGGCAAUGAUGCAUAGCCGAGUUGAGAGACUGAUCGGCCACAUUGGGACUGAGACACGGCCCAAACUCCUACGGGAGGCAGCAGUAGGGAAUCUUCCACAAUGGACGAAAGUCUGAUGGAGCAACGCCGCGUGAGUGAAGAAGGGUUUCGGCUCGUAAAGCUCUGUUGGUAGUGAAGAAAGAUAGAGGUAGUAACUGGCCUUUAUUUGACGGUAAUUACUUAGAAAGUCACGGCUAACUACGUGCC